rnacentral:rRNA from 1 species
GAUGAACGCUGGCGGCGUGCCUAAUACAUGCAAGUCGAGCGAAUGGAUUAAGAGCUUGCUCUUAUGAAGUUAGCGGCGGACGGGUGAGUAACACGUGGGUAACCUGCCCAUAAGACUGGGAUAACUCCGGGAAACCGGGGCUAAUACCGGAUAACAUUUUGAACCGCAUGGUUCGAAAUUGAAAGGCGGCUUCGGCUGUCACUUAUGGAUGGACCCGCGUCGCAUUAGCUAGUUGGUGAGGUAACGGCUCACCAAGGCAACGAUGCGUAGCCGACCUGGGGGGGUGGUCGGCCACAAUGGGGCUGGAACACGGCCCAGACUCCUACGGGAGGCAGCAGUAGGGAAUCUUCCGCAAUGGACGAAAGUCUGACGGAGCAACGCCGCGUGAGUGAUGAAGGCUUUCGGGUCGUAAAACUCUGUUGUUAGGGAAGAACAAGUGCUAGUUGAAUAAGCUGGCACCUUGACGGUACCUAACCAGAAAGCCACGGCUAACUACGUGCCAGCAGCCGCGGUAA